GCUUGUCUCAAAGAUUAAGCCAUGCAUGUCUUAGUGUAAAUAACUCUUAUGAAACUGCGAACGGCUCAUUAUAUCAGUUAUAGUUUCUUUGAUAGUCCCUUACUACUUGGAUACCCGUAGUAAUUCUAGAGCUAAUACAUGCAUUAAACCCCGACUUCUGGAAGGGGUGUAUUUAUUAGAUGGAAACCAAUGCGGGGUAACCCGGAAUAUGGUGAUUCAUAAUAACUUUCGGAUCGAUUUAUCGAUGCAUCAUUCAAGUUUCUGCCCUAUCAGCUUUGGAUGGUAGGGUAUUGGCCUACCAUGGCUUUAACGGGUAACGGAGAAUUAGGGUUCGAUUCCGGAGAGGGAGCCUGAGAAAUGGCUACCACAUCCAAGGAAGGCAGCAGG
rnacentral:rRNA from 1 species